rnacentral:rRNA from 1 species
GACGUAGGGCGCGAGCGUUUGUCCGGAUUUAUUGGGCGUAAAGAGCUCGUAGGCGGCUUGUUGCGUCAGCUGUGAAAUCCCGCGGCUCAACUGCGGGUCUGCAGUCGAUACGGGCAGGCUAGAGUUCGGUAGGGGAGACGUGGAAUUCCUGGUGUAGCGGUGAAAUGACGCAGAUAUCAGGAGGAACACCAAUGGCGAAGGCAGCACUCUGGGACGUGACUGACGCUGAGACGCGAAAGCGUGGGGAGCAAACAGG